GCCGCAGUGGCGAAAUUGGUAGACGCGCACGUUUCAGGGGCGUGUGUUUAACAACGUGUGGGUUCGAGUCCCACCUGCGGCA
rnacentral:tRNA from 1 species